GGGAGGGGUGUGCGUGUGGACGUAGACGCGGAGCAGGAAGCCAAGCGAGGAGGUGCCAGCCCGGAGCACCGUGAUUUUUACCAGACCUAGGUGUCUGGGAGAAGAGAUAAUACAAGUACAACCCCACUGGUUCCAAUGAUGCUAUUCUCAUAGGGAGAGCAAGUGUGUAACACCUCUGUAAACCCAGCAAGUCUUAGAGUCCAAGUACAAUAUGCCAAGCAGGGACCUUUGAAGGCUGCUAGGCACAUUUGGUGAUUAAUAGAUGUCACAGACUGCUUCAAGCUGGUGGAUGAAUGUGUGGCACUGCUUCCAUUUCUUCCCUGAGGAAAUGAAUGUCAUGGAUGGCUCAGAACUGCUACCCUUGAAACAGCAAAUCGAGUUGGACAGCUUUGAUGCUGACCUCCCAGCACUGCCGGGAAAAGACAUCCAUCACAGCCUAGGCUGGAGGAAAUGCUGAGGGAAUGCAGUGACACACUGUGACACUGAAAAAUCCAGACACAAUGGACAGAAUUCAGAUGGCCUGCUUUGUUCUCCUCUCCUUAAACUUCACAUCCCUAAUGAGGAAGUUUUCAAUGCAUGAAAAGGCCAGGCCUGGAUAUGUCCUGGAGCUCUCAAAUCCAGAUGUCCUAUAAACAGAUGAUGACCGCUACCAUCUGAGUCAAUCACAGGAGGAGUACCUGCUAAUCAGUGAUGCUGAUUCAGAGCCACGCUGCAUCAACAUCUCUUAAGAGGACACAACGGCAACAAGAGGCAGCACUUUUUCAUUAAAAUUCAUCAGCCUGUUAAUAUUUAACACUCUUCCCUAAUCUGUCUUGACUCUAUUCCCACAAAGGAGCCUGUCAACUAUCUUUCUCCACCAUCCUCUAACCUGCUAGUUUUUGGUUAACUUCUGUAUCUGGGAAUAGGAUACGUAAUUCUUUUUUUUCCCCUCAGUCUAAUCAGUUAAACUCUGUUCCUUUCCCAGAUGAAAGGCUAAACUCCAGAAGUCCUGGGUCUUCAGUGGUUUGCCUUAAACACUUCUCCGUUUUUUAGUGACCUCAUUGUCUCUCUGCAUUCUCAUCACUUUUCUAACAGAGAUAUGACACUGAUGAUUCUUGCCAGCAAAGUGGAAUUGGGAUUUUGAAGGAUGUUCACAAGUAGUCUAGUUUUGGUUCCUAGUCCUGUUGCUCAAAGUGUACAUGUUGAGAGGAGGACUUCCAGAGGAAGAGGUUUUCUCACCUGUCACUGUUAGGCCACUGAGUAUAACUGUCUGGUCACGUGGUGGAACAAACAAAUGUUGCAAAAAAAAAAUCCUGGUCUUAAAAGGACAGGGUAGUAUUUGGGUGAAAGCGGCGGACCCAGCACAGUGAAGGCCCUUGAUUAAGAGUAAUUACAGUAUAUCCUGUGCUAAACAAGAAAAAGACCUGGAGUUUGCUCCAAGCAGAGUUGGUCCUGCCAUUAGGCAAAGUGAUGUAGCUGCUUCAGGUAGCAAACACUGAGAUGUUACAUAUGAACCAAGUUGGAUGCCUCACAAGACCUUUCCUCUGCCCCCACAAACCAUCAGAACAAAGGUUUAUUUUAUUGCUCUUUUUAAUUUUUACCUAUAUAACCCACUUUUCUCUUAAAACUCAAGAUGAUGCACACGGUAUACUCCACUUAUUUCAUCCUCAUAACAAGCAUCUUGUGAGAUAGAGUGGGAUGACAGUUAUUGGACACGGUCACAGUGGGCUCAAUGGUUGGGUGGGGACUUGAAUCUAGGUCUCCCAUGAAUACCAUAAUCACUACACCGCCCUGUUGCUAAUGCUGAAAUAAGAUUCACCUGCCACUCUAGUUGCCAGAGGGGAGGCAACUAUUUGUCCACAGCACAAAAUAUCAAAUGCUAGCCCUGGUUCCAAAAAAAGCUCAAUUCCCCAUUUUCCCAGUACAUAAGAAGAAAGUGGGGGUUAUUCAGAAAAUAAUUCAGAUCAAGAUGCAGUUGAACAAAACUGAUUCUUCUUUUGGGAUUGAGUUGUAUCCAGAGAACCAGCUCAAUAUGUUGCUCAACCAGCAACAAUUGCAGCCAAUACCAAAUCAAAAUCUGCACCUUUGAGCAGGAGGAAGACCAAUUUCUGUUUACUAUAUAUCUGCUGCUCUUUGACAAACUAAAAACCAGUUUACAGUCUGAUGCUUCAGAGCACAUCAGUAAUUCCUAACCUUUGGGGUAACAGUGUGGAUAGCUGUUUUUUUUUUUAAUGAAAUAUUGAAGUCUCCCAAUACAUUUCCAGGUUGAUGCAAAAUUCUCCCAAUUUGCAUAGGUUGAGAAGCAGGUGGCUGAGUCAACAACAUAGAAGGAGAUUGGGUUGAUUAAUUAUGAAUUAGGACAAAUUGGCGGCCCGCUACUCAGUAAUCUAUGUAAAUAAGGAUGAUAAUACUGUGAGUGCCUGUGCAAACAGAAGCUUGCUAAGGAGCAAUGGGCAAGCCCAGCUCCCUGCAGUGGUGGGUCGGGAAGGCUUUGUGGUGCUAUUAAUUUUUAUGGGGUGACAGAAUGAAAUUUACAUGGACAAUGAGAUGCCUAUCUCAGGGGCUGCCUUGUUAAAACUGAUGCUAGAUGCAUCCAUUGGUCAAAGGAAGGAAAUGAAGAAUGAACAGCAGAAAGUAGAAGAUAGAUACAUCAAAUAUUAGGAAGACUGUUCCCCCCACAUCUGCCUAUAUGUCCACCCAAGUGUAAGCUCUACUCAGCUGCAUCUUGCUUUUUAGAGUACUUAUCUCUUUUUGUACAUGCCCAGUGCUGUGGGAGGAAAAGUAAGGGUAUCUUAAUUCAAAUAUCCUAUUUCAGUCAUUUAUUCUCUGUAACUUUAUAAAAGUUGUAGCUAAUAGGAUCACAGUGAAUGGUAUUGUAGAAAAGGUAACUGGAGUGGCAGCUUUAAAAGUCCAUUUAUCUACAGAUGAGGAACCUAUCAGCAGCAGAUGUUUUCUAAAUGAGACCUGCAUUUCAUUAAAAUGCAUGCAUGCACACAAAAACAAGAUUUUUUCCCACCCCAGUCACAAAAAAGAAAGAAGGAGCCAUCAUAAUGCAUAAAAGAAAGUAAACAAUGGAGAUACUGUAUGACCUAGGUGGUAUGUAUUUUGGUAUAGGAAAAUUCCCAUAGUUACACAAUUAUGUUCCUACAUUUGUAGAGAGCCAGCCUACUUUAAAAAGUCCUCAUUAUGCACACAAGACAAUGUCCAGUAAGACCUAAGAUAGCAUCGUGGCUAAAGUGCUGCUCUGGAAUUGGAAAGCCCCAAACUCAUCUACCCAUUCAACUGUGGAGUUCACUGGAUGACUUGCGCCCUUCAUUCCCUAUUUAAGCCUAACCAGCUUGACCAGAUUGCUGUUGUGAAGAUAAAAUGAGACAGCCCCUCCUUGUAUACUGACGAGCUCAAAAACGAAAUGAAUAAGAUAAUAAACUCGCUAAUCCACAUGGAUUUGCAAGAGUUGCUGUUAUUUUUGUUGCAAGAGAUUAAAGAGCUGUACCUCUGGAAACUUAAAUUGUACUGGAAUCACAUGAUGUCUCAAACAUUUAAGUUGUCACCAACUCCCACCAUAUUCUUCCUUUGGGAUUUGCAUCUCUGGAUGCUGUGAAAGAAGAAAUCUUGCACAAAGAGUUUAGCCAGCCAAGCAGCUUUCAUUAUGAUGUAGCUACUGCCACCUGGUGUCUUAAUGCUGUUCUUAGGACAGCAGGAGUUUUAUUGGAUUGAACUGGAAUAAA